UCCCUGAUGGUCUAGUGGCUAGGAUUCGGCGCUCUCACAGCCGCAAUCCCCCGGUUCGAUUUUGAUUCCCGGUCAGGGAA
rnacentral:tRNA from 1 species